GGGAAGAAUGUAAGGGUAAGGGAAACUCAUUUAUUAAUUAUUAUAUGUAUUGGAUGCAGCAAUUCACAUUUGUUAAAUUAUUUUCUCUCCAGAGUCACCCUAUAAGGUAGAUAUUAGAAAGGAAAAAGCUGAGACACAGAAAGAUUUAGUGAAACGCCCAAAGUCAUACAAUCAGAUUUCCAAGCCAAGACCUUCCUCUUUUGUCUAUCUCCGUCACCACUAUCCAGGUAGCCUAACUGCUAACAUGUACACUUAUAGAAGAUGGGGCCCCAGGUAGAGCUAAUCUGCUCUUUUGUGGAUUCUUUUGAUUCUCCCAAGGGCAAACCUCUAGCUAUCAGGGGAGACAGAAGAAGGAUGGUUCAUGGUGGUUAGGAAUAUGGGGCUCAAAUUCAUUCUCUGGUGGGCCCAGGUGUCCCAAGAGUAAAGUAGAGAAAAUGAAAAAGACCUGUGAUUUUCUUAAUUUCAGAGGUGACAAAUAAGCAGAUUACGAUGAGGUGACAUGAGAGACAGUCCCUGAAGACCAACUAACAAGAAAUAUAUUUUACUUAAGUUAGGAUGCUUAUUGGAGUGUCAAUUCUAGAGACUCCACAACUGAAAUUAACUGCAAUUGAUAUGACAGCUGCACUGCGUGAUACACUCUGUAUACUGAAAUGUAUUUUACUCUGAUAUAAAAAAUUGCGAUAUUAUCUUUAAAGAAAAGUAAAGGAACAAAAGACUCAAUCUCUGCUGAAUGCAGAGUAACAUCACAAGGAAGAGGUAAACAGUUUCAGUUGUCCUACUUCUUUUACAGGUGUUCUACAGAAUCUGUUCCAGCUAUAUCUCCUGCUUACCCUGGGAGAAUUAGCGUGAAUGCUUCCUCUAAGAAGAAAGAUUUCUCUCUUUUUUUUUUUUCUGCUUUCUUUUCAGUGAAUUUAAGCAUUGGACAGGAGCAAGCAAAGGGAUCAAGUAGAAAUCAAACAGUUACUAAAGAGCUUUUCUAAACGACCUCAAAUGUUAAAAGAAUGAAAGGUACAUUGGCUGGACAUACAUUUAGACGUUGUUAGGCUAACUUUGAGAGCCCCGAGAGACUUCGGAUGCUGUUCUUUGAAGUUCAAACAGCAAGUUUACUUCAAGAAAGAGGACCUAGGCUGUGUAUCUAUGCCAGUGAAAUACAGAUGGAGGCAAUGUGGUGCUGAAGAACAGCAAAUAAUUUAGCAUCAAGAGACCUACGUUCUAGCUCAGGAUUCACCACUGGUUGGCUCAGAACCCCCACACUUUGCUGGCCUCAUCUAACAAAAGACGGUAUUACGUAUACUCUUGGGAUAUUACCUGAUAAUUUAUUUCACUGAUUUGUGGUAAGGCUUAUAUAAGAUAGUGGGUGCAAUGACACUUUUUGAAAUUGUUAUGGAAUUCUUUCAAAAUGUCAGUUUUAAUUAUUGAUUAGGGUAUUGAGCCUCUAUCUCAAUGACAAUUAGGUGGAGCCCAGCAUAAAUAGGUGCUUCUGUUUAUGGCACUGUCUGUGAUAAUAGAACCAGUUCCUUCCCGCUCUAUCACUGUUUUUAGAAACUUCUUUAUCUUCAAUGCUAAGCAAGGGUACUGGGUCACUUUGACCCCAUGUUUUUCAUUUAGGCAGUAACAAAUAACCUCUUUCUGUGAGUAGUAAAAGAUUUACCUCUGUCUUAUCUUCUGAGAUAGAUUUUAACAAUUAGCUUGGUAAAGUUUAAACUUUUGUUCAAUAAUCUGAGAUCAUGGAAGGGGUGGGGAUUUGAGUUAAAGUGGAGAAUAAUUCCACUGGUGGUGUUUAAACUUUGAUUUGGAAGAUCUAGGCAUCUAUUCUGAAUUUUCUUUUUUAUUUGUUUUACUUGUCAUGUCCUCUAUUUAUCUUCAUUACACCUUGCAAAGGGUGACUCUUAUCUCCAUUUUGAUUACUUGGUAUUCAAUUAUUCCCCUGAUUCAGUAUGAUGGCUGAAAAAUUACAUGUGUUACUUCUGAUGUUUUCUGGUUCUCUUGAGAACUUGUGACUCUGAGUAUUAGAGAUUUUCACUGCCUUGGCUACUUCUGUCAUUUUUUUCAGGGAUGCCUACUCAUUCUUAUAAUCGGAUUCUCUAAAUAUUGGAGUGAAUUAUGGAAAAUUACUAGUUAACUGAACGUCUUCUGUUCUCUGUAGAUGUUUAUCCUGGGAAAUCAGAGGGGGGUUCGAACUGUACUGGCUGUGUGGGAAUAUUCUCUAUUUGUUUUCUUCUUUGGCCAGACAUUUUUAAAGUUCUUCCUGUAUCCUAAGAGUUAUUUUUAUCCUUCCUUCCUUCCUUCCU